GGGAGUAUAGCUCAGUUGGGAGAGCGUUUGCAUGGCAUGCAAGAGGUCAGUGGUUCGAUCCCGCUUACCUCCACCA
rnacentral:tRNA from 1 species